rnacentral:rRNA from 1 species
UACGGGGGGGGCAAGCGUUGUUCGGAAUUACUGGGCGUAAAGGGCUCGUAGGCGCCAACUAAGUCAGACGUGAAAUCCCUCGGCUUAACCGGGGAACUGCGUCUGAUACUGGUUGGCUUGAAUCCGGGAGAGGGAUGUGGAAUUCCAGGUGUAGCGGUGAAAUGCGUAGAUAUCUGGAGGAACACCGGUGGCGAAGGCGACAUACUGGUCCGUUACUGACGCUGAGGCUCGAAAGCGUGGGGAGCAAACAGG